UACGUAGGGUGCAAGCGUUGUUCGGAAUUACUGGGCGUAAAGGGCGCGUAGGCGGGCCCGUGUGUCGAUUGUGAAAGCCCCGAGCUCAACUUGGGAAUUGCAGUCGAAACUGCGGGUCUUGAAUGCCUGAGGGGAUGGCGGAAUUUCCGGUGUAGAAGUGAAAUUCGUAGAUAUCGGAAAGAACACCUGAGGCGAAGGCGGCUAUCUGGCGGUGCAUUGACGCUGAGGCGCGAAAGCGUGGGGAGCAAACAGG
rnacentral:rRNA from 1 species